GCUCGUGUGGCGGAAUCGGCAGACGCAGCGGACUUAAAAUCCGCCGGGCCUUAAAACCCGUGCCGGUUCAAGUCCGGCCACGAGCACCA
rnacentral:tRNA from 1 species